rnacentral:rRNA from 1 species
UUCGAUUCUGGCUCGAGGACGAACGCUGGCGGCGUGCCUAACACAUGCAAGUCGAGCGAGGAGAUUCCUUCGGGAUGAUCCUAGCGGCGGACGGGUGAGUAACACGUGGGCAACCUGCCUCAUAGAGAGGAAUAGCCUUCCGAAAGGGAGAUUAAUACCUCAUAACAUUGCAGUUUCGCAUGGAACAGCAAUUAAAGGAGCAAUCCGCUAUGAGAUGGGCCCGCGGCGCAUUAGCUAGUUGGUGGGGUAACGGCUCACCAAGGCGACGAUGCGUAGCCGACCUGAGAGGGUGAUCGGCCACAUUGGGACUGAGACACGGCCCAGACUCCUACGGGAGGCAGCAGUGGGGAAUAUUGCACAAUGGGGGAAACCCUGAUGCCAGCAACGCCGCGUGAGUGAUGACGGCCUUCGGGUUGUAAAGCUCUGUCUUCAGGGACGAUAAUGACGGUACCUGAGGAGGAAGCCACGGCUAACUACGUGCCAGCCGCGGC